rnacentral:rRNA from 1 species
CCUACGGGAGGCAGCAGUGGGGAAUAUUGGGCAAUGGAGGAAACUCUGACCCAGCAAUGCCGCGUGAAUGAAGAAGGUCUUCGGAUUGUAAAGUUCUUUAGUCAGGGAAGAAUAACAUGACGGUCCCUGAAGACUAAGCUCCCGCUACCUACGGGCCACCAGCCGCGUUACUACGUAGGGAGCAAGCGUUGUUCGGAGUGACUGGGCGUAAGGGGUGCGUAGGCGGUAAUACAAGUUCGGGGGGAAAUACCAGGGCUUAACGCGGGUGCUGCCUUUAAAACUGGAAGACUGGAGUGCCGGAGAGGUUAGUGGAAUUCCUAGUGUAGCGGUGGAAUGCGUAGAUAUUAGGAGGAACACCAGAGGCGAAGGCGGCUAACUGGAAUGCAACUGACGCUGAGGCACGAAAGUGUGGGGAGCAAACAGGAUUAGAUACCCGUGUAGUC